UACAGAGGUCCCAAGCGUUGUUCGGAUUCACUGGGCGUAAAGGGUGCGUAGGUGGUGAGGUAAGUCGGAUGUGAAAUCUCCAAGCUCAACUUGGAAACUGCAUUGGAAACUACCUUGCUAGAGGAUUUGAGGGGGGGAUUGGAAUACUUGGUGUAGCAGUGAAAUGCGUAGAUAUCAAGUGGAACACCAGUGGCGAAGGCGAAUCCCUGGAAAAUACCUGACACUGAGGCACGAAAAGCUAGGGGGAGCAAACAGG
rnacentral:rRNA from 1 species